AGCAGCCGCCGCGGGAAAACAGAGGGUGCGAGCGUUAAUCGGAUUUACUGGGCGUAAAGCGUGCGUAGGCGGCUUUUUAAGUCGGAUGUGAAAUCCCUGAGCUUAACUUAGGAAUUGCAUUCGAUACUGGGAAGCUAGAGUAUGGGAGAGGAUGGUAGAAUUCCAGGUGUAGCGGUGAAAUGCGUAGAGAUCUGGAGGAAUACCGAUGGCGAAGGCAGCCAUCUGGCCUAAUACUGACGCUGAGGUACGAAAGCAUGGGGAGCAAACAGGAUUAGAUACCCGAGUAGUCCCUGUCUCUUAUAA
rnacentral:rRNA from 1 species